rnacentral:tRNA from 1 species
GGAAGAGUCGCCUAGUGGCCUAUGGCGCCGCCUUGGAAAGGCGGUUUGGGGGCAACUCCAUCGUGGGUUCAAAUCCCACCUCUUCCGCCA